UUUUUUUCAAAAAUAAUUUAGCUCUGUUUAUCAUAGUCAAGGCAGCUACAAUUUUUGUAGCAUUUUGAUUUUCUUCAUAUGAAGAAUAACAAAUAGCCAUUCAUGAAUUUGAAAAAGAAAAAAGGACGAUCUUCUGGAAGAGAAAAGCGAAAUCUUUACAAAGUGCUUCAAAGAAAUUUAAAAAAUUUGAUAAGGCUCAGCUGGAAUUGAAAUACACAUGGUGGAAGAAUUCAUUAAAAAAAAUGUACAGAUGACAGUCGCCAAUCCAAAACCUUUACUCAAAAUUGUCCAGCUACUGUCUCCAGAUAAACAAUUUUUGGAGAUAAAAUCAAUGAAUGAGAAUCAUGACCAUGUCCUCUCCGAAUCUUUGUUCCGUUCUUCGCCUAAAAAAAGCCUGAUACCUGUUGGGCACCAAGAGAAAGUUCAAAAAUAUGUGAAUCUCCAAGUAUCUAUAUUUCUGUUCCAUUUCAUAUAGGUUUAACGACAACAGUUGUUGGUUUGAAGAGGAAGAAAGGUAAUAGGCCCACUCCUUUUCCAAGAAAAGCAGUUUUGGAGGGAAAAAAAUAUGCUUAUGAACUGCUUUGUAGAUAAAGAGGCAUUUUCGAAGACCAUAAAUAAAGGCAUUUUGAAGAAGAAGCUGCUAUAGAAUGUGGUAUAGAGAAGGUUUCUUCUUGUAUGGAAUCAUGUGUUGAAAUUAAUGAAGUGAAGCUGUUCUUUACUUCUGAUGGGUGGCUAUUGGUUAAAAAUGUGAUUUUACAAAAUCGAGAAUGAUGACAUGAGAAUGUUAUUCAUGCAAACAAGAUUGCGGUAUGGUGAUACUAUUUUGUGCGACUCUUAUUCGCAGUGAUAUCACUAUUCCUGUGUCGGCCCUCUGCAGCCUCCAGAACAAAAGUAGGUAUUGUUAAAAAUCUAAACUUUUUAGACCUUUAGACUUUUUUUUAGCUUAUUUUGAUUUUCUUCCUGUGAGAUAUAUUUUGAAUAGAUAUUUGUCAUGUGUAAGCCAACUUUUUAUUUUUUUUUAAUUCUUUACUUUCAAUAAAUUUGCGUUCAGUAUGUUCCUUUUAACUGUAAUUUAUGUAGUAUAUGUUUCUUUAAACUUUGUGAUUGCUUGCUUCUAAUCCUAAUUGUGUAAAUUUAUAUUUAGUUUUUUAAAUCUGCUACAUUUUUGUCCAAUAAAAGUUUAGUUUCUUCCUGC